UACAGAGGGGGCAAGCGUUAUUCGGAAUUAUUGGGCGUAAAGGGCGCGUAGGCGGCUUGGCAAGUGGAUGGUGAAAUCCCUCGGCUUAACCGGGGAACUGCGUCCGAUACUGGCGGGCUUGAAUCCGGGAGAGGAAUGCGGAAUUCCUGGUGUAGCGGUGAAAUGCGCAGAUAUCAGGAGGAACACCGGUGGCGAAGGCGGGUCUCUGGGCCGUAACUGACGCUGGAGGAGCGAAAGCGUGGGGAGCGAACAGG
rnacentral:rRNA from 1 species